rnacentral:rRNA from 1 species
AACGAACGCUGGCGGCAGGCUUAAGACAUGCAAGUCGAGCGCACCCUUCGGGGUGAGCGGCGGACGGGUGAGUAACGCGUGGGAACGUGCCUUUCUCUAAGGAAUAGCCUCUGGAAACGGAGAGUAAUACCUUAUACGCCCUUCGGGGGAAAGAAUUUCGGGGAAGGAUCGGCCCGCGUUGGAUUAGGUAGUUGGUGGGGUAAUGGCCUACCAAGCCGACGAUCCAUAGCUGGUUUGAGAGGAUGAUCAGCCACACUGGGACUGAGACACGGCCCAGACUCCUACGGGAGGCAGCAGUGGGGAAUCUUAGACAAUGGGGGCAACCCUGAUCUAGCCAUGCCGCGUGAGUGACGAAGGCCCUAGGGUCGUAAAGCUCUUUCGCCAGGGAUGAUAAUGACAGUACCUGGUAAAGAACCCCGGCUAACUCCGUGCCCAGCAGCCGCGGUAAA